UGAGGAAUUUUGCGCAAUGGGAGCAAUCCUGACGCAGCAACGCCGCGUGGGUGAUGAAGGCCUUCGGGUCGUAAAGCCCUGUCAGGUGGGAAGAAUGUCCCGGGACUGAACAGGUUUCGGGAGUGACGGUACCACCAGAGGAAGCACCGGCUAACUCCGUGCC
rnacentral:rRNA from 1 species